AUUGAACGCUGGCGGCAUGCCUUACACAUGCAAGUCGAACGGUAACAGGUCUUCGGAUGCUGACGAGUGGCGAACGGGUGAGUAAUACAUCGGAACGUGCCCGAGAGUGGGGGAUAACGAGGCGAAAGCUUUGCUAAUACCGCAUACGAUCUCAGGAUGAAAGCAGGGGACCGCCAGGCCUUGCCCUCACGGAGCGGCCGAUGGCAGAUUAGGUAGUGGGUGGGAUAAAAGCUUACCAAGCCGACGAUCUGUAGCUGGUCUGAGAGGACGACCAGCCACACUGGGACUGAGACACGGCCCAGACUCCUACGGGAGGCAGCAGUGGGGAAUUUUGGACAAUGGGCGCAAGCCUGAUCCAGCCAUGCCGCGUGCAGGAUGAAGGCCUUCGGGUUGUAAACUGCUUUUGUACGGAACGAAAAGACUCUGGUUAAUACCUGGGGUCCAUGACGGUACCGUAAGAAUAAGCACCGGCUAACUCUGUGCCAGCCGCCGCCGUAACAC
rnacentral:rRNA from 1 species